rnacentral:lncRNA from 1 species
GCCAAAAUCCUCCCGGGACACCCCACCUGGACUGCUGCGAACGGGCCUCCACCCGCCUCCCCGGACCCGCAGCGCCCCCCGCUCCCUCAGGGUUCUGGGGUGAAGGGGUCUGAAUAGCACCAGGGGAGGCGGCAGGGCGGGCCUGUCCUACCUGCGCCCGAGCACUGCUGAGACGACAUCCCUUCCAGCGCCGCCACGUAGUCCAGCCCCAGCCAGCCGCGAUAUCUCCCCACAAACCUAAACAAUUUCGAGAGGGACUUGUGUUCUGCAACCAGUCACAGAAUAUCAGGUGAGCUGGGCGUGUCUUCACUGACCCACCCGCCCAGGGAUGCUGCACUCCUCUCCACCCUGCUCAGAAUCACUAGAAUGACCGUUCUGUGGCUACAGCCCUAAAAGAGCUACUAAAAAGACCAGAAGUAGUAUGAGAACUUAUGAAUACGAAUAUAAAUAAAGGACAUCUGGAGAA